rnacentral:rRNA from 1 species
CAAUAGCGUAUAUUUAAGUUGUUGCAGUUAAAAAGCUCGUAGUUGGAUUUCGGAUGGGAUUUGCCGGUCCGUCGUUACGAUGUGCACUGGCCAGUCCUAUCUUGUUGUCGGGGACUAGCUCCUUGGAUUCACUUCCUGGGACUAGGAGCUGACGAGGUUACUUUGAGUAAAUUAGAGUGUUCAAAGCAAGCCUACGCUCUGAAUACAUUAGCAUGGAAUAACACGAUAGGACUCUGGCUUAUCUUGUUGGUCUGUGAGACCAGAGUAAUGAUUAAGAGGGACAGUCGGGGACAUUCGUAUUUCAUUGUCAGAGGUGAAAUUCUUGGAUUUAUGAAGGACGAACUUCUGCGAAAGCAUUUGUCAAGGAUGUUUUCAUUAA